rnacentral:misc_RNA from 1 species
AAGUCGUAACAAGGUUUCCGUAGGUGAACCUGCGGAAGGAUCAUUACCGAGAACCGGCGCCCUCGUGGCCCGACCCUCAAACCACCGCGUACCGAACUUCAACGUUGCCUCGGCGGGGCCCCCGUUCACGCGGGAGCGCCGCCGCAGGACGCAACCAAAACCGUUUUGUGAGACAAACGUCUGAUAACCUUCUUCGCGAAUGCGAUAAAGUACAACUUUUAACAAUGGAUCUCUUGGCUCCG